CGCUAUACUAGCCACUGAAAAUGCCGGUUCACUUUCUUCGAAUCGGCUUUCAAUGUGU
rfam:Shigella dysenteriae Sd197, complete genome.